rnacentral:rRNA from 1 species
AUGGGAAGCCAAGUAUAUUUCAUGGACGAACAUGCACCUGAGAUUCCAGUUGGUUAUAGCAGUUCCUCCACUUCACCAGCCAGCAGCGUCUGGGAGAGUCACCAGAUCCUACAGAUGCAUGCACCCUUCCCCUCAUGGAGCCCCCACACCGGCACACUCCUUACCGCCGCUGCCACUGACCCGGCAACCUUCUGCGAGGACCCCUUGUCACCAGCCCGCACACACCUUCCAAGCAGGCAUCUAUGGAACCAGACUGACCUUAGCAUGGGAGUUCAUGGGAGCAGCAACGAGCUUGGCGGGAGCAGUGGCCAUGGAAAGGACUUCCUUUCCUUGCUUGAAGCGAGGACGGUGAUGCCAGAAAUGCUCGAUGAUUUCUCCUCGGCGGCAUGCGACUACCUCAAAGGGAUGGACGGCAGCGACUACAACAGCAUCUCCGCAUCAGCUUCCUAUGGUUUUGACAGUGGCGGUCCGUACGCUGGCCCCAGUGCUCUGCCCGUCAGGCGUGAUGGGAUUGCGAGCUCUCCACCGGUGUACCCCGGGAACAGUACCUUGGUGCAAGAGAGCAUGAUGGGUUGCAUGCCAAGCCACAACCACGAGGUAAAACUAGAUGGUUCCCAGCAGCAGGAGCUUGGAGCUCCCAUGAAUGCAUUCCUGCAGAAAACGCUUCCUACUAGUGUUGCAAUUCAUGGAAGCCCUCUGGGUUAUUCUGGCUCUGGGAGCGAAAGGGCUUUCCCGGAGGGCCGAGUAAUGCAGGUUUCGUUUGAUGCUAGGAUUUCACCAGAUGCAAUCUAUGCUAGUGGUUACAGAUCAAAAACAGAAUUGGCACAUACCAAUCAGUAUGAGCAACGUACUAUUUCGGCAAGGACUGGUACAGGUCAAAGUGGUGCUGAAGGUGAUCCUAAGAAGAGAAAAUCAGAGGAAAAGUUGGCAGGCAACGGAAAGAGGUCGAAGAAAGAUACUUCAAGUAGAUCACCUCCAAAGGCAGAAGUGCCUGAUAUGAAGUUGGGAGAGAGAGACAAGAUCAUAGCAUUGCAGCAGAUCAUCUCACCGUAUGGGAAGACGGAUAGAGCGUCAGUGUUGUAUGAAACCAUCAAGCACAUCGAAUAUCUACAUGAGCAAAUACAGCUAUUGAGUGAUCCCUACAUGAAGAAUAGCACAAACGAGGUGCCCUUUCAAUGGGGAGGUAAAGAGGAGGAUUUGAGAGGGAGAGGGCUUUGCCUGGUCCCUGUUUCUUGCACCCCGCAAGUUUUCCAGGAUAAUAGCCUGCCGGACUGCUGGACGCCGGUGUACAAGAGCUCCCGGUACCAAUGA